rnacentral:rRNA from 1 species
GACGUAGGGCGCGAGCGUUGUCCGGAUUUAUUGGGCGUAAAGAGCUCGUAGGCGGUUUGUCGCGUCUGCUGUGAAAACGCGAGGCUCAACCUCGCGCCUGCAGUGGGUACGGGCAGACUAGAGUGCGGUAGGGGAGAUUGGAAUUCCUGGUGUAGCGGUGGAAUGCGCAGAGAUGUGGAGGAACACCGAUGGCGAAGGCAGCCCCCUGGGCUGAGAUUGACGCUCAGGCACGAAAGCGUGGGGAGCAAACAGG